UAAAGUGGUAUGGUCUCAAAUGUUGCGUAAGUUAUACGAGCGUUGGGUUGUACCCACGCUCAACUGCCAAAACACUAGGCCGGUCCCAAGGUUCCCCUGCGGGAUUUAUGCGUAUACGCGCAACCCUGACAGCACAUGGUAAUGCGCCAGUACAAAUGGCAACUGCCUGCAACCAAUCAGCGUGCGUCAGGUUUUGCCCAACUAAAUUCCACGAUGAACAAUCGUGUGCCAACAAGCGUGGCCAACAACUUUCCUGCACUAGCGCAACAGAUCUAGGUUAAGGAGGAAGAAUAAGGUGUAAUUCUUGACUCCUCUUAAAGAAAACGGUCCAACUCACUCCAACGAUAAACACGUGUUUCAUCAAGGGUUAAUAUUAUUAAGAAAAAUUCCCUCUCCCCCGCAGACAAACACAAUUUUCAAAAGGCUCUUAAAAAGCCCCCUUAUUACCAAAUAAAUCCGUAAUUCUCAAAAGACAUGAUUUAGUGUUUAUCUCCUAAUUUCCCUUUUCAAGUUUCUAAUGGUAAAUGCAAGUUACCGAGAUCUUUUAUAUAAUUUAAUUUUGGUCUCAAAAAUAUGAUUAUUUGUUUUCUAUUCUUAAUCUUCAUAUUUUGUGAUGUGGUGUUUGCUACGAAUAUUUUGUGAUGUGGUGUUUGCUACGAAUCAAUGUAAUUUUGGACUCGUCCUAUUUUAAGCCGAUACAAUUUAACUAGUUCUUACA